rnacentral:rRNA from 1 species
GGGGAAUUUUGGACAAUGGGCGCAAGCCUGAUCCAGCCAUGCCGCGUGAGUGAAGAAGGCCUUCGGGUUGUAAAGCUCUUUCGGCCGGGACGAAAUCGCACGGGUUAACACCGCGUGUGGAUGACGGUACCGGAAUAAGAAGCACCGGCUAACUACGUGCCAGCAGCCGCGGUAAUACGUAGGGUGCGAGCGUUAAUCGGAAUUACUGGGCGUAAAGCGUGCGCAGGCGGUUUUGUAAGCCAGAUGUGAAAUCCCCGGGCUUAACCUGGGAACUGCAUUUGGGACUGCAAGGCUAGAGUACGGCAGAGGGGGGUAGAAUUCCUGGUGUAGCAGUGAAAUGCGUAGAUAUCAGGAGGAAUACCGAUGGCGAAGGCAGCCCCCUGGGUCGAUACUGACGCUCAUGCACGAAAGCGUGGGGAGCAAAC